rnacentral:rRNA from 1 species
ACAGAGGUCCCAAGCGUUGUUCGGAUUCACUGGGCGUAAAGGGUGCGUAGGCGGUUGGGAAAGUCUGACGUGAAAUCUCCGGGCCUAACCCGGAAACUGCGUUGGAAACUAUCCAGCUUGAGGGUUGGAGGGGGGACUGGAAUUCUCGGUGUAGCAGUGAAAUGCGUAGAUAUCGAGAGGAACACCAGUGGCGAAGGCGGGUCCCUGGACAACACCUGACGCUGAGGCACGAAAGCCGGGGGAGCAAACAG